rnacentral:rRNA from 1 species
UACGUAGGGUGCAAGCGUUGUCCGGAAUUAUUGGGCGUAAAGAGCUCGUAGGCGGUUUGUCGCGUCGGCUGUGAAAACCUAGGGCUCAACUCUGGGCUGCAGCCGAUACGGGCAAACUAGAAUUCGGUAGGGGAGACUGGAAUUCCUGGUGUAGCGGUGAAAUGCGCAGAUAUCAGGAGGAACACCGGUGGCGAAGGCGGGUCUCUGGGCCGAUAUUGACGCUGAGGAGCGAAAGCGUGGGGAGCGAACAGG